rnacentral:tRNA from 1 species
GUGUUAUUAGUUCAAUGGUAGAACAUCAAACUAUGUUAGAAAGUAGUGGGUUCGAAUCCACUAUAACACA